GACGAACGCUGGCGGCGUGCUUAACACAUGCAAGUCGAACGGUGAAGCGCCUUCCUUUUUGGUGGGUGUGGUUGAGUGGCGAACGGGUGAGUAACACGUCAGUAACCUUCCCCCUUCUUCUGGAUAACCGCAUGAAAGUGUGGCUAAUAUGGGAUAUUCUGGUUCUGUCGCAUGAUGGGUCUGGGAAAGAUAUUGUUUCGGUGGGGGAUGGGCCCGCGUCCUAUCAGUUUGUUGGUGGGGUGAUGGCCUACCAAGGCGGGGACGGGUAGCCGGCCUGGGAGGGUGGGCGGCUUCGCUGGGGAUGGGCCCCCGCCAGGACUACUAGGGGCGCCAGCCGCGGACAAUAUUGCGCAGUGGGGGCAAGCCUGAUGCAGCGCCGCCGCGUGAGAGAUGGAGGCCUGCGGGUUGUGAACCUCUUUCGCCAGUGAAGCAUGCCUGCCUGGUUUGUGGGUGGGUUGACGGUAGCUGGAAAAGAAGCCCCGGCUAACUACGUG
rnacentral:rRNA from 1 species